UGGCUCAGAGGUUAAAGCGUCUGCCUGCAACGCAGGAGACCUGGGUUCCAUCCCUAG
rfam:Ovis aries breed Texel chromosome 18, whole genome shotgun sequence.